AAUACGUGAUGAGAAAGUGUUUCUGUUCCAGUUGAUGACCACUGAUAACUCAUUUUUCUGAUGUU